UACAGAGGGGGCUAGCGUUGUUCGGAUUUACUGGGCGUAAAGGGCGCGUAGGCGGCCAGCACAAGUCAGUUGUGAAAUCUCCGGGCUUAACUCGGAAAGGUCAACUGAUACUGUGCGGCUAGAGUGCAGAAGGGGCAACUGGAAUUCUCGGUGUAGCGGUGAAAUGCGUAGAUAUCGAGAGGAACACCUGCGGCGAAGGCGGGUUGCUGGGCUGACACUGACGCUGAUGCGCGAAAGCCAGGGGAGCGAACGGG
rnacentral:rRNA from 1 species